GGCACCACCUCUUUCACCGUGACUCUUAAGUAUUGUUAGUCAGUGGGUCUUUUUGUUUUUGCAUCUGGCGGUCGUAGCUGGUGGCAAGGGCAGUGCCUUUCUAAUUUUGGGAUGUUUUCGGGAAGCUUAAUCAGAGAGCGGCUGCUCGCACGUGGGGAGGCGAGCGUUGUGGCUGCCGCGGCCCACAAGGGCCGCGCCACGCUGCCGGCGUACGGGGAGAGGGACGCGUGCAUGUCCCGCAGGGCCCCCGCCUCCAGUGAGCCUAAAGUACCCAAAAGCCGGGACCCCUUUCCGUGGGCUUGCCGUUGGGAGUGAUCAGAUUUGAGAGAACAAGGUGACCGACCUACUGACGAGCACCAAAGACGGGAGCAGCAUCCUACUUUGAGGUUGCAAAUGAAUGAAGGACUGGCAAGAUCUGAGUGUUGGUGUGAGAAGCAUUGGUCUGGUGUGAGGUUUUGAGUGUGAAGGGUGAUUGGCAGUGCACUUUGAAAGCUGGUGACAGUGGCAGCUCCCCUGGGAAGAGACCACGUUUCUAGAUGGUCAGCAGUGCUGCAGCAGUGGUAGCAUUUGAAGUCUCCAUGGCCCAGUACCACCUGGACAACCCGGACUCAGAAACCCUAGGCGUCAGCAUUUGCUGUGGAAACAGUCUCACCUUAUACUAAGCAUCAGAGGACAUUCUUACCAAUAGUAGAGCCAAGAAGUGGAUUUGGCAACCUUUGCACAGGACAUGCACUUUGGCAUCAUGAAAUUCAUGAGUUUUCUAGUAUUGUCCUGAUCAAAAGGAGCUUCUGUACAUUUUAAUGUUGUAUUUGUUGUAUUGGGCAAGGGUCUGAGUUGUUUAAGCUGUAAACUUCCUCCUGAAGUUAAUAUCUAUGUACCAUAAACUGCCAUUGUAAUAAAGGAUGGCCUUUGG